rnacentral:rRNA from 1 species
CGCGUAGGCGGUUUGAUAAGUGGGAUGUGAAAGCCCCGGGCUCAACCUGGGAACUGCAUUCCAAACUGUCAGGCUAGAGUAUGGUAGAGGGAGGUAGAAUUUCCUGUGUAGCGGUGAAAUGCGUAGAUAUAGGAAGGAAUACCGGUGGCGAAGGCGGCCUCCUGGACCAAUACUGACGCUGAGGUGCGAAAGCGUGGGGAGCAAACAGGAUUAAAUACCCUGGUAGUCC